rnacentral:rRNA from 1 species
UACGUAGGGGGCAAGCGUUGUCCGGAAUCAUUGGGCGUAAAGAGCUUGUAGGCGGUUUGUCGCGUCUGCUGUGAAAAUCCGGGGCUCAACCCCGGACUUGCAGUGGGUACGGGCAGACUAGAGUGUGGUAGGGGAGACUGGAAUUCCUGGUGUAGCGGUGAAAUGCGCAGAUAUCAGGAGGAACACCGAUGGCGAAGGCGGUUCUCUGGGCCUGUACUGACGCUGAGGAACGAAAGCGUGGGGAGCGAACAGG